ACGGAAGGCAGCAGUGAGGAAUAUUGGUCAAUGGACGGAAGUCUGAACCAGCCAAGUAGCGUGAGGGAUGACGGCCCUAUGGGUUGUAAACCUCUUUUGCAGUGGAAUAAAGUGCGUCACGCGUGGUGCAUUGCAUGUACCCUGCGAAUAAGGAUCAGCUAACUCCGUGCCAGCAGCCGCGGUAAUACGGAGGAUCCGAGCGUUAUCCGGAUUUAUUGGGUUUAAAGGGAGCGUAGGCGGGAUGUCAAGUCAGCUGUGAAAUGUAGUCGCUCAACGUCUGCACUGCGGUUGAAACUGGUGUUCUUGAGUGCGUAAGAGGCAGGUGGAAUUCGUCGUGUAGCGGUGAAAUGCUUAGAUAUGACGAAGAACUCCGAUUGCGAAGGCAGCCUGCUGGGCCGCUACUGACGCUGAAGCUCGAAGGUGCGGGUAUCAAACAGGAUUAGAUACCCUGGUA
rnacentral:rRNA from 1 species